rnacentral:tRNA from 1 species
GGCGUCAUAGCCAAGUGGUAAGGCACGGGCCUGCAAAGCCCCGACUCCCCGGUUCAAAUCCGGGUGACGCCUCCA